rnacentral:SRP_RNA from 1 species
GAUCCGGUCCUGCGCAAUGUUGUCCCGUGAACCAUGUCAGGUCCGGAAGGAAGCAGCAUUAAGCGGUGUUCAGUAUGUGCCGCAGAUCAAUCGGAUUCCG